AUGCUACCGCUUAUAUAUACAAAGAUAAUAAUAUGAACAGUGAGGCGCAAUGAAAAUAUAAUAGAGGCCUUACAUCACAAAUAAGGCAGCCUAACUAGAUAAAAUAACGCUAACAAAUAAUUCAAAUUAAUAGCAAUUAGACUUAAUAGAUAAAAGAUAUAUGUGUAUAUAUAUGAUAAUAACGUAGGUAAUACAACUCAACAUGAUUGAAGUACAUUUCCUAACUCAUAAUUUUAACAAUCCAAGAGCCAAUUGCUCUAAUAUAAACUAAUCGCCAAAGCUGUGCUAUUUUUCAUCCAAAGCAUUGACAGCAAAAUAAGUUUAGCUAUCAGAGUAAUUUAGGAUAUGUCUAUGUAUCCUUAAUUGUUUUCUAACAGUUUUUAAUUGCUUCCAGACAUAACUUCCCAGCCAGAUGAGAAAAAGAAGGCUUGAUUGAAGGAAAAUGUUAAAUAACUCCACCCAAAAACUAUGUAAAAUGCCACUUGUUAUUAUAACUUCCUCACAAUAACAUGGAAUGCCUUAUUGACAUCGAGGGACAAGUAAAAAAAAAUUUGUUUAAUUAAGGGCACAGCCACUGCCCUAGCCAGAGAAGGAGGCAGACGCCAGACAGAUCAACUUGAAGAACACGCAAAGCUGUAUCAAUUGUUAUAGAAGAGGCAUUGCAAUAAGGCUGAGACAUGUAAAGUACCAUAGCAAUAAACUUUAUUAAGUGUCAUAGUGCCAAAACGAAUGUAUUUCUCCCCACAAGAUUAUCCAAGAAAGAUCUCACAUAGUCUCACAAGCUGAGACACUCAAAAGAAAGAAAGAUCGGCAAAGCCAGAAGAUCCGACAAACAAUAUUACGUAAUAAACGAUAUCACGCGAUAUAUAGAUAUACAGCGGUUGCAUAAACAAACGCAGAUAUCCUCCAAAGAGUAAAGUCAUAACAAUAAAGCCAUAAUUCUUAAUAAUUAUUAAUUAAUAUGAAUUGGAAAGAAGUGACAUAUCUGCCAAUUCAUAAUGUGACAAUAUUUCAAUUAUAUUUCGUAGAAUAUAUCCAAUCUAAUCCAAUGAUUGUGCACGAGAUACGCAAAUUAAAUUAGAAAAUAUAAUUCUCGCCGGCAACACGCUUUCUAAUAUACAUCAAUAUGUUCGCAGUCAAUAUCUAGCACUAUUUGUGAUCCACCGAUGACAGUCAUCAAAGACAAAGCUGCCAGCUCCAAAUUAUUUCAGAUUACGAAAAGCCUGUGUCCACCUCUUGUUCAUAACGAGUAUUCCGAAAAGCAAGAACAAAAAUAGCUCUGACUCAAUCCAGGAUCCUACAAAAAAGGAAGACAACAUCACACAAGGAUAUAUAUAAAGAAAAACAUAUAAUUCCCAUCACAGAUGGAAAUAUACCUCUAAGAAGCGCACCGCUUUUAUGGGUUAUGCUUCUUUGAAUACCAUACUAUUUGCCACAAAGGACAGACAUAAUAAUAAACUAUAUCUGCAAU